rnacentral:rRNA from 1 species
GAUGAACGCUGGCGGCGUGCCUAAUACAUGCAAGUCGAGCGAACAGACGAGGAGCUUGCUCCUCUGACGUUAGCGGCGGACGGGUGAGUAACACGUGGAUAACCUACCUAUAAGACUGGGAUAACUUCGGGAAACCGGAGCUAAUACCGGAUAAUAUAUUGAACCGCAUGGUUCAAUAGUGAAAGACGGUUUUGCUGUCACUUAUAGAUGGAUCCGCGCCGCAUUAGCUAGUUGGUAAGGUAACGGCUUACCAAGGCAACGAUGCGUAGCCGACCUGGGAGGGUGAUCGGCCACACUGCAACUGAGACACGGUCCAGACUCCUACGGGAGGCAGCAGUAGGGAAUCUUCCGCAAUGGGCGAAAGCCUGACGGAGCAACGCCGCGUGAGUGAUGAAGGUCUUCGGAUCGUAAAACUCUGUUAUUAGGGAAGAACAAAUGUGUAAGUAACUAUGCACGUCUUGACGGUACCUAAUCAGAAAGCCACGGCUAACUACGUG